rnacentral:lncRNA from 1 species
UCCAUUUAGUAGUCUAAGUUUCUCGAUGAGGAUAAUUAAUUCGGUCGUUGUGGUCGGACUCUAUUAAGGAUUUCUGACCACAUUCCCCAUAGGGCCCUCUUAGAUCUUCUUUCUCCAAUCUUGGAUUAGGGAAGAAGGGGAUAUUCGCGACUACUGGCGGUUUCAUUAUGGGGCAGCUCAUGAUCUUCAUAUCGAUCUAUUAUCCACCUCUGUAUCUAUUCUUUCUUAGCUAAACGGGUGGAAGAUCCAUCCAAUUUGGUUAUAUCAUGGACUGAAAAAACAAACGGAUCUGAAUUUGACUGAAAUGCACGAUCUUCACAGGUAUCACUUUUCACGAUACCUAAAAGGUGGAAUAGCGAUUUGCGAGCCAUUUCCUAUAAGAGAAUGGUUUCCAUUACUUUGAGAAAUAGAUUCUUAUAUCAAACUAUAGCUAUUGCAUUAAAGAAGAAAAGAAACUAAUAGAAGUCGAAGACGCGGAAUGGUAGUGAAUAGAGAGAAAGAUUCUUCCGAUUUUCUUGUUCCUGAAAAUAUUCUAUCUAUCUCCUAGACGCCGUAGAUAAUUGAGAAUUUUCAUCUCUUUCAAUUCUCGUACUCGUAAUUGGAAAGUUACGGAAGGAGACCCGUCAUUUUGCAAUGAAAACAACAUAUAAAACUCUGGACAAUUUUGAAAUCAGGCCAAGCGUCUUAAUACAUAUGCAAAAAAAUUCAUUAGUGGCCCACCAUUGAUUAGAAGAUUUAGCUUGUAUGAAUCGCUAUUGGUUUGAUACGAAUAAUGGCAAUCGUUUCAGUAUGUUAAGGAUACAGAUGUAUCCACAAUUCAUUUCGAGUUACUUAAUAGCCUAUUUCUUAUACCAUAUCUCUAUCCCGUGAAAUUCUCGAGCCCAAAGAUGGAUGCAUAUGCUAUGUUUCAUUUUGCUAAAUGAUAUCAAUUAAAUUGUGUAUCAAUUCCAUAAAUUGGAUAUAGCAAUAAAAAAAUCAGCAAAAUUAUUUUAUUUUAGAUAGAAGAAAUGUUUCUUCUAUCUAAAAUAAGAGAAUGUACCCUUCUAUCCAAAUCCAAUUUGCAUCGAUAAAAUAAAUCCAAAUUCCAGUAGUAGAUGAAUAAUUGCAAAUUUUUGUGUGUACGAGAUUAGAAUAACUUCAAAAUAACUGACAUAAUGUUUUAUUUUUCCUGAUCAGAAAAAUACAUGAAAAAGAAAGGAGGUAGAAAAAUCUUUGGAUUUAUGGUUAAAGAAGAAAAAGAAGAAAAAAAGGGUUCUGUUGAAUUUCAAGUAUUCAGUUUCACCAAUAAGAUACGGAGACUUGCUUCACAUUUGGAAUUACACAAAAAAGAUUUUUCAUCGGAAAGAGGUCUACGAAGACUUUUGGGAAAACGUCGACGUUUGCUGGCUUAUUUGGCAAAGAAAAAUAGAGUACGUUAUAAGAAAUUAAUCAGUCAGUUGAAUAUUCGGGAGCAGUAAUUUAAUCGUUCGAAUUUUUUUACUUAUUUUAUUUAGUAGCCUUAUAGUAGUCUUAGAUUUUGCAUUUUGAUGAGCCUCGUUUUGAGGAAUUCAUGGAAUAACGAAUUAAGGAAGAAAGGAUAUGAGUCUACCGCUUACAAGAAAAGAUCUCAUGAUAGUCAAUAUGGGCCCUCAACACCCAUCAAUGCAUGGUGUUCUUCGACUGAUCGUUACUCUCGAUGGUGAAGAUGUUAUUGAUUGUGAACCCAUAUUAGGGUAUUUACACAGAGGAAUGGAAAAAAUCGCGGAAAACCGAACUAUUAUACAAUACUUACCUUAUGUAACACGGUGAAAAAGAGACCUGGAAAUUCCUUCAGUUAAGAAAGAAAAAAGAACAGUUAAGAAAGAAAAAAGAACAGUUAAGAAAGAAAAAAGAAUAAAAACACAGAUACAUAACAUAGAAAAAAGAAUAAAUAAGAUGAGAUUCGUCCUCCCCCUACAUAUUUAAUUUCUUCUCCUAUACAAAAACUAGCAAGACCCACUCCAUUGGUAAUCCCAUCAAUGACACCCUUAUCGAAAAACUCCGUUAGUUCGGUUAAUCCUCUUAUACCCAAGGUAAAGAGCCUACUAUAGAAAAUAUCUAUAUAACCACGAUUAUAUGACCAACUGUAUAUCUUUUUUUUUACUUGAUAAAAAAAGUUCUUUUUUGGACUUCCUUUGUAAAAGGAAUUUUGUAAAUCCAAAUUCUGAAAAAAAGAAUAAGCAGAUCCAUAGAAAAUAUAUGCUAUGAAUAAACCGAGGAUAACUAGACUUACAGAAGAUAUUGCAUUAGUAAUAAAUUCAUAUGAAUUUAUAGAAGAGUUGGAACUUUCCUGAGUAAAGUUUAUUGAAGGAAUUAACCACUUUGAUAAUAUGGUUACCCCCGCUAUUCCAUUAUCCAUUGUUUCAUUAUCAAAAGGGAUUCCUAUGAAUCCAAUGAAGAAAGUAAAAAGCAGUAAUAUAAGAAGAGGAAAUAACAUAGUAUUUCCCGUUUCAUGCGGAUAGGUAAAAACAUUUUUAGACCCAAAGGAAGUACUAAAAGAUUCUAUCCUAUUUCUUGUAUUACCUUGACCUUUGGAUAUGGAUAUAUUUUGUGAAAAAAAAUAAACUUCACUCUUCGUUGUUGAUAAAACGAAAUCUUUACUCACUCCUUUGGGUAUCCUAUUUCCCCAUAAAGAUAUUGAAUACAAGGAACCUUCUUUAGUGCUACUAUAAUUUUGAAAAUGAAAACGAAAAUACCCGUCAAACGUAAGUAAAUAUAUCCGAAACAUAUAAAAGGCAGUUAACCCAGCAGUAAAGGAAGCUAUUAUUCCAAAAAAGGGCGAAUACAACCAACUAUUACUAAGGAUUUCAUCUUUGGACCAGAAGCAAGCAAGAGGCGGAAUACCACAAAUAGAAAGCGUACCCCAUAAAAAAGCGGUUCUUGUAAUUGGAAUGUAUUUUCUUAAACCACCCAUAAGAGCCAUAUUCUGACUUUUAUCUGGUGAAUAUCCAACAAGCGGUUCCAUUGAAUGAAUAAUGGAUCCGGAUCCCAAGAACAAUAAAGCUUUUGAAUAAGCAUGAGUGAUCAAAUGGAAUAAAGCAGCUUGAUAAGAACCUAUACCUAAAGCUAACAUCAUAUAACCCAAUUGAGACAUUGUAGAAUAAGCUAAAGUUCUUUUAAUAUCUCUCUGAGCAAGAGCUAAAGUAGCUCCUAAGAAGAGUGUUAUUGUACCUACUAAAGAAAUGAAAGUCAUUAUCAAAGGUAGAGAUAUGAAAAGAGGGAGAAGGCGAGCUAGAAGAAAAAUCCCCGCAGCAACCAUAGUUGCUGCGUGUAUAAGAGCCGAAAUGGGAGUGGGUCCCUCCAUUGCAUCGGGUAACCAUACGUGAAGAGGGAAUUGUGCGGAUUUCGCAACUGCCCCAAGGAAUAAUAAAAAAGCACAUAAAGUAGUAAGUAAAGAGGUCGUCCCAUUAUUAGGAAUCCAGUUAUUAGCUGUUUGGAACAAAUCCCUAAAUUCUAAACUACCUGUUAUCCAAAAAAAACCUAAAAUUCCUAAUAAAAGACCAAAAUCACCUAUACGAUUAGUUACAAAAGCUUUUUGACAAGCGCUCGCUGCGAUUGGUCGUGUAAACCAAAAGCCUAUCAAUAAAUAGGAACACAUUCCCACAAGUUCCCAAAAAAAAUAAAUUUGUAUCAAAUUUGAACUAGUAACCAAUCCCAACAUGGAAAUAUUGAAAAAACUUAUAUAAAUAAAAAAUCUCAAAUAUCCUUCAUCAUGAGACAUAUAACCAUCACUAUAAAUAAGAACCAGGAUUCCUACAGUAGUAAUUAGCAUUAACAUAAUCGAAGUAAGCGGGUCAAUCAAGUAUCCAAAUUCUAAGGAAAAAUCAUUAUUGAUGGUCCAAGACCAUAGAUAUUGAUAGAUAGAACUUCCAUUUAUUUGUUGAAUAGACAAUUGAACUGAGAAUACCAUAGCUAUACUUAAGAGUAAAACACUAGGAAAAGCCCAUAUGCGACGAAAAUUUUUUGUUGCGAUCGGAAUAAGAAAAAGGCCAAACCCCAUUGACAGAAUAACUGGAAGUGGGAGAAGAGGGAUUACCCAAGCAUAUUGAUAUGUAUGUUCCAUAAGAAAAGAAAUUAAAAUUUUUACUUGAAAUUUUUACUUCAAUUUUUUAUAAAAAAAUUGUUUCUGAUUCACCAAACCUAUUCUUAUCUCUUUCUGAAGGAAUAAAUAAUAAGUAAAAAAAAUAAGAAAAAAUACUGGAAUUCUUAAUUUUUGAAAAUUUAUAUCAUUGAAAUAAUCCAAAAUUAAGAAUGGGUUUAGUUGGUUAAAUUCAAAAAAAGUUAAUCAACUAACUUCGUUACCUAGUUAUUAUCUAAAUAAGGAUAUUUAUGAAAAAAAAAGUGGAAUCAUUUAACUUUCUAUUCAUUUUUCUAUUUCUUUAAAACAAAGAUGAAGCAGCUCUCUUGUUUAGAGAACUAAAAUCAUAAUUACUAUAAUUACCUAAGUUUUAUAAUGUCUUGUUUAAGAGACUCAGUAUUUUUUGUUUUUUAAUUCGAAUUCCAUUAUGGAAUACCAUUCUUAACUUAAUUAAAUAAAUUAAAUAUUUGCAUUUUCCGUUCUUUUUACCCCCUCGUCUUAUAUGGGGGAUAGACUUCCGUACCGUAUAUCUAUAUAUGGAGUAUCCUUGAUAUAUAAAUAUAUAGAUAAAUAGAUUUAAAUGGAAAACCUUUCUAUAUAUUCUAUAUUAUUAAAACAAAGUUUAAAAUAUAUACGGAAAAAGUGCUAACAAAUUCUUGUCUUAUCUGCAUUAGACAAAAUGAAGUAAAAAAUAAUUCAGAAUUUAAAUAUCUUUCAGUAUAUAAGUAUAAAUACUAAGAAGAAAUACUAAGAAAAAGAAGAAAGAAGGAUUGAUUUGUGGCAAUAGAUGUCUUUCACAUACAACUAGAAAAAAGUAAUUUCCUUUUUGAAUGGCAGUUCCAAAAAAACGUACUUCAAUGUCAAAAAAGCGUAUUCGCAAAAAUAUUUGGAAAAAUAAGACUUAUUUUUCCAUAGUACAAUCUUAUUGUUUAGCAAAAUCAAGAUCAUUUUCCAGCGGUAACGAGCAUCCAAAACCAAAGGGUUUUUCUGGGAAACAAACAAACAAAUAAUCUGGUUUUGGAAUAAUCUGAAUUGACCUAUCAAAAAACAAUUCCAAUUAUUUAAUAUGAAUAAUUUGGAUUAAUUAAUGAAUGUACUUUUAUGUGUCGAAUUCCUCGGUACAAUAUUCUUAGAACAAACCCGUCCGAUAUAUAGAAUAAUAGUUUUUGGUAUACUGUGUGCUAAGUAUUCUUUUCCUAUCAAUGAACUUUUCAUAAAAGAAUUCUCAUAAUAAAAUAUGAGAAUUCUUUUAUGAAAAGUGAAGUAUUCUUGCAAUAGGAUUUAAAACUUCCACCUAUCUUAUCCAAAAUCAUUGCUUUAAGGUUGGUAAAUCCUAUUAAUAAGAGCAUAAAAGCUUUCAUUCUAUAAAUUUGUCUAAAAUAAAAAAGGGUUUCUAUUUAAUGAUGAAAUUAAAAUGCAUAAAUAGAAAAGAGUUUUUGGAUUUUCUCCAUUGUAUCAAAAGAAUUUAAAAAAUGGAAACGAGAAACUAAUUAAAAAAAAAUUUCUUCUAUAUUCCAACUUAGAAAAAAGGAGUUCCAACUCUUUCAAGCAGUGUUUCUAUUAGGCAAAGCAAGAGUUUAUUGUAAAAAAAAUCGCAAUGAUACUACCAAACGAAGUCUAUUUAAAUGAAGACUCUAAUGUUCCUAAAUUUUAUGGACUUUCCCAAUCUGGACGGUUCGUGAGAUAAUAACUAUUAUUCUUUUAAGUUACCUAUUAUUUGAAGUUAGCCGCCAUGGUGAAAUUGGUAGACACGCUGCUCUUAGGAAGCAGUGCUCAAGCAUCUCGGUUCGAAUCCGAGUGGCGGCAUUCUCGAAAAAGAAUACAAUAGAUUAUAAAAUGGAUUCAAUUCGAAAUUUACAAUUUUGUAAUGGGACCUUCCCCUUAUGCUAUUUGCAACUUUAGAACAUAUACUAACUCAUAUUUCUUUCUCAACCAUUUCAAUUGUGAUUACGAUUCAUUUGAGAGCCUUAUUAGUUCGUGAACUUGGGGGAUUACGCGAUUCGUCAGAAAAAGGAAUGAUAGCUACUUUUUUCUCUAUAACAGGAUUCCUAGUUUCUCGUUGGCUUUCUUCGGGACAUUUUCCAUUAAGUAAUUUAUAUGAGUCAUUGAUCUUCCUUUCCUGGGCUCUGUAUAUUCUUCAUACGAUUCCUAAGGUACAGAACUCUAAAAAUGAUUUAAGCACAAUAACUACGCCAAGUACUAUUUUAACGCAAGGCUUUGCCACGUCAGGUCUUUUAACUGAAAUGCAUCAAUCCACAAUACUAGUACCCGCUCUACAAUCUCAGUGGUUAAUGAUGCAUGUCAGUAUGAUGUUACUAAGCUAUGCAACUCUUUUGUGUGGAUCUUUAUUAUCUGCCGCUAUUCUAAUCAUUAGAUUUCGAAAUAAUUUCAAUUUUUUUUCUAAAAAGAAUAAAAAUGUUUUAAAAAAAACAUUUUUAUUUAGUAAGAUGGAAUAUUUCUAUGCAAAAAGAAGUUAUUUUAAAAGCGCCUCUGUUCCUUCAUUUCCAAAUUAUUACAAAUAUCAAUUAACUGAGCGUUUGGAUUCUUGGAGUUAUCGUGUGAUUAGCCUAGGAUUUACCCUUUUAACCAUAGGUAUUCUUUGUGGAGCAGUAUGGGCCAAUGAGGCGUGGGGAUCCUAUUGGAAUUGGGAUCCUAAAGAAACUUGGGCUUUUAUUACUUGGACCAUAUUCGCAAUUUAUUUACAUAGUAGAACAAAUCAAAAUUGGAAGGGUACGAAUUCCGCACUUGUAGCUUCGAUAGGAUUCCUUAUAAUUUGGAUCUGCUAUUUCGGUAUCAAUCUAUUAGGAAUAGGUUUACAUAGUUAUGGUUCGUUUACAUUAACACCUAAUUGAUUACAUAAAAUAAAACCUUCAUUUCAUUAAGGUUUUUACUUUUUCGUUUUAUUUGAGAACCCCUUGAGCGCCUUCUCAAAGGGUUCUCAAAAAUGCGAGAUAGAUCUAAUUAGACUUUUUUAUUUUUUUUUCUCCAUUAAUAGAGCGGGCUAGUUAAAAAAACCUAUUUAGGGUAAUAAUUGGAUAAGAGAGCCUCCACCCUGUCAACGGAUAGGGAGAGAACAAAAUCUGGAUAAAUACCAAUUCCUAUUACUGGUAAAAAGAUACAGAUUAAAAGAAAGAGUUCUCGUGGUCCAGAAUCCAUAAAAUUUGCGUUUGGAACAUUAAAUAGUUUGUAUCCAUAGAACAUCUGGCGUAACAUAGAUAAUAAAUAAAUAGGAGUUAAUAUCAUUCCAAUUGCCAUUACAAAAGUAAUUAGCGUUUUUGGCAUUAACAGAAAUUUUGGACUAGUAAUUAGUCCAAAAAAUACUAAUAAUUCUGCGACAAAACCGCUCAUUCCUGGUAAUGCAAGAGAAGCCAUUGAAAAGCUACUAAACAUGGUAAAAAUUUUCGGUAUUAGAAUAGAUAUCCCCCCCAGUUCUUCGAGAUAAACAAGACGCAUUCUAUCACAAGCCGUUCCUGCCAAGAAAAAAAGUGUAGCGCCAAUAAAUCCGUGGGAUAAUAUUUGUAAAAUAGCUCCAUUGAGUCCAAUGUUGGUUAUGGAACCAAUUCCUAUAAUUAUGAAACCCAUGUGAGAUACAGAGGAAUAGGCUAUUCUUUUUUUGAAAUUUCGUUGACCAAGAGAAGUUGAGGCUGCAUAGAUUAUUUGGAUCGCUCCUAUUAUUACCAACCAGGGCGAAAAUAGAUAAUGAGCAUGAGGUAACAAUUCCAUGUUGAUACGAAUCAACCCAUAUGCUCCCAUCUUUAAUAGGAUUCCCGCUAAAAGCAUACACGUACUAUAAUGUGCUUCCCCAUGGGUAUCUGGUAACCACGUAUGGAGGGGUAUAAUCGGCAAUUUGACAGCAUAAGCAAUAAGGAAGCCAAAAUAUAAAAGUAUUUCCAAGGUUGCAGGGUAUGAUUGAUUAAUUAAUCUUUCCAAAUCUAAUCCCGGUUCGUUGGAACCGUACAAGCCCAUACCCAGAACUCCGAUUAAGAAAAAAAUGGAACCGCCUGCAGUAUACAAAAUAAACUUUGUAGCUGAAUAUAGACGCCUCUUUCCCCCCCACAUGGAUAAAAGUAAGUACACAGGAAUUAAUUCUAACUCCCACAUGAUAAAAAAAAGUAAAAGGUCUCGCGAAGAAAAUAAUCCUAUUUGACCACUAUACAUUGCUAGCAUCAGGAAAUAGAAUAAUCGCGAAUUCCGGGUAACAGGCCAAGCAGCUAAAGUAGCUAAAGUAGUGAUAAAUCCUGUCAAUAAAAUGGAUCCUAAUGAAAGUCCAUCAAUUCCCAAUCUCCAGUGGAAAUCGAAGACAUCUAUCCAUUUAGAAUCCUCUUUUAAUUGGAUUAAGGGAUCCUCCAGUUGGAAAUGAUAACAGAAUGCAUAAGUCAUUAGAAGGAAUUCUAAUAAACAAAUGGAUAUAGUAUACCACCUAACGAUUUUGUUUCCCCUAUGAGGUAAAAAGAAAAUUAAUGAACCUGCAAAUAUCGGCAAAACUACAAGUAUUGUUAACCAAGGAAAAUAACUCAUGAUAAAGUAAUAAAGAUAAGAUACGUUUUGCCCACAAAAGCCCGUGCUCGAUUAUUUCGAGCACAGGCUUCUUCGGUAAAGAGGAAUCAGACGAUUCAAGUGGAGUUUUUUGUAACGUAUCAAUAAGAUAGAGCCAUGCUACGGGUUGUUUCAGGCCCUAAAUAAACGCGGACGCUUAAAAAAUCUGUCGGACAGGCGGAUUCGCAUCUCUUGCAACCCACACAAUCUUCGGUUCUUGGCGCGGAAGCAAUUUGCUUGGCUUUACAUCCAUCCCAGGGUAUCAUUUCUAAUACAUCUGUUGGACAAGCUCGUACACAUUGAGUGCAUCCUAUACAUGUAUCAUAAAUUUUUACAGAAUGUGACAUUGGAUCUAUAAAUUUUUCUUUUCAACAUAAAAUUUUUCCGAUCUGGUAAAUUAGUACUGUAUGAGUCAUAUGUAUUGUAGACACCAGACGAAGCAAUGGUUUGUCCAAACUUCAAAAAAAAUAAUAAUCUAUUUUUUAAUCUGUUUGUGAGAAAGCGUGAAAAGAGCCAAGAGACUUAAAUUUUGGACUUCAACAAUCAUAAUUAUACGAAUUUAGAAUUCGCCAAUAAAUUGGCUACCGUCUUUUCAAUAUAAAUUAUUGCAAUAUUCAAAUUGCAAUAUCAAUGAAUUAGAAAAAUUCAUUUAAGUAAAAAAGAAUACUAUGCAAUAACCUACUAAAAAAAGGAUAUUCUCAAAUAAUAAUAAGAAAAUCGUAUUCGAUUUCUAUUCAUCUUACAUAUUAGAGAUUCUUAUUAUAUGUACUCCUUUGUUUAGAGUAUUCUAUGUCUAAUUAUUCAAGAAAUUAGAUUGAUUGAUACGAGUUGAUUUCCUAUUACGAUGGAUGGAAGAAAGAAUGGAUAGUCCAAUAGCGGCUUCAGCAGCCGCAAGGGCUAUAACAAAAAUUGCGAAAAUGUCUCCUUUUAAUUGGCGACUAUCAAAUAGAUCAGAAAAUGUUACGAGAUUUAGAUUAAUUGAAUUCAGUAUAAGUUCAAGACAUAUUAGAGCUCUAACCAUGUUUCGGCUUGUGAUCAAUCCAUAGAUACCAAUCGAAAAUAAAUAGACACUCAAAAAAAGUACAUGCUCAAACAUCAUUAACGAACUCCUUAUCAAUCUCGAUUCAUUUCAAUAUGAGGACAAGAAUUGAAUCGAUUCAAUUAAUUACAAUAAAACAAUUACACAACAAAAGAGAAAAGAAGGUAUUUGUUGGCAGUAGAUGGGUUUUACUAAAUCAAAAUUGUGAUUCUUUAGUUAUUUUUUUUAGAUUUGUAAUUCUUAUAAUUUUUACUCUUUCUAAGUUUUCUUAUUGCCGAGCCAUAGUAAUAGCACCUAUUAAAGAAACUAGAAGAAUUAUGGAAAUGAGUUCAAACGGAAGAUAAAAAUCGGUUGCUAAAUGAAUCCCAAUUUGUUGAACAUUAUUUAUGAGACCCUGCUCUACUAUUUGGUUGGAUCUUGUAGUCCAAAGAAUUCCAUACCAUGACGUAUCUGGGAUAGUAGUCAUUAGUGAAAAAACAAUAGUUAUACAAACGAGUGAAGUGAACCCAUCUCCAAUAGUCCAAGAAUUCUUAUCUUUAGACCAUUCUGAACCAUUUACGAACAUUACAGCGAAUAUGAUCAAGACAUUUAUGGCUCCUACAUAAAUAAGAAGUUGUGCGACAGCUACAAAGUAGGAAUUCAAUAAAAAAUAGAAUAAGGAUAUACAAACAAGAACUAAUCCCAGCGAAAAGGCAGAAUAAAUGGGGUUGGUAAGUAAUACUACUCCUAGACCCCCUAGUAGAAGAACAAAUCCCAAAAAUAGCACAAGAAUCUCGUGUAUUGGUCCGGGUAAAUCCAUUAUGGAUAAAAAUAAAUUAAUAGUAUAAAAUUUUUCAUGAAUUGACUAAAACUAAAGGAUUCAAGGGAGGAAAAAGGGAUUAGGAUAUUUUUUUGUGUAUAAGCUGUAUAGUUAGAAAUUCUAUCACGAAAAUCUAGUAUGAUUUAAAAUAAGAAAUAAUUUGCAAUAAAAUAAGCGGUAGUUAUUAGCUUUUCUUUAUAGUUAGUAAAGAAUUGUUCGAUUUUUAUAACAAAAAAGAAAAAAUCCUAGUUUAGUAAUCAGUAAUCGUUCUUGAAUUUGAAGAUAAAUCUUCGUCUAUUUGACUUUCAGCCGAAUUUCGAAUUGUUUGAAUUGUGUAAUCCCCCAUUAUGGAGAUUGGUAACCGGCUUAAAGCAAUUUGAUUAUAAUUCAAUUCAUGCCGAUCAUAAGUAGACAGUUCAUAUUCUUCCGUCAUUGAUAAACAGCUUGUUGGACAGUACUCAACACAAUUACCACAAAAUAUACAAACUCCGAAAUCAAUACUAUAAUUAAGCAAUUGUUUCCUUUUAACAGCCUUUUCAAAUCUCCAAUCCACAAUGGGGAGAUCUAUCGGACAUACGCGAACACAAACUUCACAAGCAAUACAUUUAUCAAAUUCAAAGUGGAUUCGUCCCCGAAAACGCUCCGGUGUAAUUGAUUUUUCGUAAGGGUAGUGAAUCGUUAUAGGUAAACGAUUUGUGUGGGAUAAGGUAGUUAUGAAACUUUGACCAAUGUACCUUGUAGCACGUAUUGUUUGUUGGCCAUAACUCAUGAACCCAGUUACCAUAGGGAACAUAUUCUAAAUAUCUAUGAAAAAGGUAUGUUUCUUUCUCUUGUUUGAGAGAGCUUUUGUGUUGAAAAUAUUCUUACUGUUAUUCUAUUAUCUUAUUUAGAGUGAAACAAGUUGGGAAGAGGUUGUUAAUAAGAGAUUACCCAGGGAAAUAGGUAAAAGAAAUUUCCAUCCAAGAUUUAAUAACUGAUCGAUUCUCAUCCUGGGUAAAGUCCAUCUUAUUGUGAUAGAAAUGAAGAGAAAUAAAUAAGCUUUAGUUAAUGUAAUAAAGAUACCCAUUGUCAUUUCUAAAAUCCCAACUGCUUUAUUCAUUUGGAAAAAAUCAAAAAAGGAUAUAUAGGGAAUAGAUAAAUCCCACCCGCCUAAGUAGAGAACUGUUACAAAUAAAGAGGAAACUAAUAAAUUUAGGUAAGAAACAAGAUAAAAUAAACCAUAUUUUAUACCGGAAUAUUCGGUUUGAUAACCUGCUACUAAUUCUUCUUCUGCUUCUGGUAAAUCAAAGGGUAAUCUUUCACAUUCUGCCAAAGAAGAAAUUAGAAAAACCAGAAAACCUAUAGGCUGGCGCCAAAUAUUCCACCCAAAAAAACCAUAUUUGGACUGUGCUUCAACUAUAUCAACUGUACUUGAACUGUUAGAUAAUCAUAGUCGAUGAUAACAUCACAGUUCCCACCGCUAUUCCAAAACCGUACAUGAAACCUUAGCUUCAUACGGCUUCUCUAUGAUCAGAAAAAGGGAAGGGCUGUUUCCUUUCGGUAUGAGCCUCUGGGGCGUAGAUAGAAUUAUUUUCUAGGCAAAAUAAAAUCGAUUGGAAAGCCCUAAAUUAGACCAAAGGAAUUCUGUCUGCUAGAAUAAGAGCGCUUCCGAAUUGAUCUCAUCCUUUAUAAUAUAAUGAAAAUUGUUCUUUGUUAAGUACUAACUUAAUCUUGGAAUAAAACACUCGUUAUAGGAAUUCUAUUAAUAAAUGGAAAGAAUUGGGCAUUAGUUCAGGAAGAAUUCUGUAUGAAUAUGGAUAGAGGAAGGAAAUAAUUAAAAAAAAUAUUUUUUAUGUAUUGCAUUCUAUAUCUUUUGUCCUAUUCUUCUUUCCCCGGGGAGGGGUAUUUAAAAAGAAAAAAGAAAUAAAGGAUUAAUUCGUUCUUGAUAGCCAUUUCCUUAACAAGUGAAUGGAAACAUACUCUGGAUCGGAAUCCCAAGAAAGUACUACUUGAUCAUUUCCACUAAUUUCAAGUCCUUAUUAUGAUUCCUUUUAUGGGAAAAAUCUCUAAUUCUUAGAUUUCCCCAUUACUAAUCCUUUAUGUACUUUAGUGUUCCUGACCUUUCACUAACUUUUGAUGGAUUCUUUUUAUGUUUAUAAGUUAUAGUAAUAAUUAGGGAUAUUUUACUAAUGGAAUUCUAUAUCGUCCUUUCGUAAAUCCUUUAUUCUUGCCCGCUUCAAGACAUGAUGACUAAUUAAAAAAUAGCAAUCUUGGGGUAAAGAGUUUACACUGCUUAUGUUUACUUCAAUUUUUUUCUUGUACGUAGGAAAUGAGAUUUUUUUUUACUGCAAAUUAAUAAGCUGUUUUAUUUCACUCAUAUAGCUAUCUAGUUUAACUUACCAACCCGAAUACAGAAUAAGAAAAAGAAGAUAAAUAUUUAAUGGAUUUUAGAGGAAAAGGAUCCCAUUUUAACGAAUCACACGUAGAGAUAUUGCUAAUACACAAAAAGUUAAUGGUAUUUCAUAACUAAUCGAUUGAGCAGCAGCUCGUAGACCGCCUGAAAAAGAAUAUUUAUUAUUUGAGCUAUAUCCUGCCAUAAGAAGACCAAUAGGAGCAAUACUUGAAAUGGCAAUCCAUAAAAAAACACCAAUACUAAGAUCAGCUAAAGCAAAACGAUAUCCCAAAGGGAUCACUAAAAAACUUAAUAAAAUUGAUAUGACUGCUAUAGAGGGUCCAAUGCUAAAUAAAGGAAUAUCCCCUCGAGAUGGUAGAAUAUCCUCUUUUAAAAGUAGCUUAGUCCCAUCUGCUAUAGCUUGAAGUAGUCCUAGGGGACCGGCAUAUUCAGGACCAAUGCGUUGUUGGAUCGAAGCGGAUAUUUCUCUUUCUAACCAAACAAUUACGAGUACUUCUAUUGUGAUUCCCAAAAGAAGGGUCAAAAUGGGUAGAAUCCAUAUAAGUCCAUAGAUUUCUUUUAAUAAUUCUGAUUUCGAAAAAGAAUUGAGAGUUUCUACCUCUACCCUAUCUAUUAUCAUUUCAACGAUCAACUUCCCCCAUAAUGAUAUCUAUACUACCUAAUAUCGUCAUGAUAUCAGCCAAUUUCAUUUUUUUAACUAACUGAGGAAGAAUUUGCAAAUUAAUAAAACCGGGUGGACGAAUUUUCCAUCUCCAGGGAAAAAGGCCAUCAUCUCCUACUAGAUAAAUCCCUAAUUCACCUUUGGGGGCUUCUAUUCUUACGUAAAGCUCUUGCUUUGACAAUUCGAAAUUGGGUGAAGGUUUUUUACCAAGAAAUCGAUAUUCAAAAUCAUUCCAUUCGGAAUUCUUUUCUUUCUUAAAGCGACGGACUUCUAAAUUUUCAUAAGGUCCUCCAGGAAUUUUCUCUACAGCUUGUUGAAUAAUUUUGAUAGAUUCUCUCAUUUCACCGAUUCGUACUAAAUAGCGAGCUAAUGAAUCUCCUUCUUUUUGCCAUUGGACUUUCCAACCAAAUUGGUUGUAAGACUCAUAAAGAUCUACUUUACGAAGAUCCCAUCGUAUUCCAGAAGCUCGUAACAUGGGUCCUGAUAAGCCCCAAUUUACUGCUUCUUCUCCGCUAAUAAAACCUACUCGCUCAACUCGUUCCAAAAAAAUAGGAUUCUGUGUAAUAAGUUGUUGAUAUUCAACAACUCCCCGUAAAAAAUAAUCACAGAAAUCUAAGCAUUUCUCGAUCCAUCCAUAAGGUAGAUCGGCGGCUACUCCUCCGAUGCGAAAGUAAUUGUGCAUCAUUCGCAUACCUGUAGCAGCUUCAAAUAGAUCGUAUAUUAACUCUCUCUCUCUAAAAAUGUAGAAAAAAGGAGUCUGUGCGCCGAGAUCCGCCAUAAAAGGCCCAAGCCAUAAUAAGUGAGAAGCUAUACGGCUCAACUCUAACAUAAUUACCCUAAUAUAGCUGGCUCUUUGGGGUAUUUGAAUAUUUUCUAAGAAUUCUGGUGCAUUUACCGUUAUUGCUUCUGUAAACAUAGUAGCUAAAUAAUCCCACCGUGUUACAUAAGGUAAGUAUUGUAUAAUAGUUCGGUUUUCCGCGAUUUUUUCCAUUCCUCUGUGUAAAUACCCUAAUAUGGGUUCACAAUCAAUAACAUCUUCACCAUCGAGAGUAACGAUCAGUCGAAGAACACCAUGCAUUGAUGGGUGUUGAGGGCCCAUAUUGACUAUCAUGAGAUCUUUUCUUGUAAGCGGUAGACUCAUAUCCUUUCUUCCUUAAUUCGUUAUUCCAUGAAUUCCUCAAAACGAGGCUCAUCAAAAUGCAAAAUCUAAGACUACUAUAAGGCUACUAAAUAAAAUAAGUAAAAAAAUUCGAACGAUUAAAUUACUGCUCCCGAAUAUUCAACUGACUGAUUAAUUUCUUAUAACGUACUCUAUUUUUCUUUGCCAAAUAAGCCAGCAAACGUCGACGUUUUCCCAAAAGUCUUCGUAGACCUCUUUCCGAUGAAAAAUCUUUUUUGUGUAAUUCCAAAUGUGAAGCAAGUCUCCGUAUCUUAUUGGUGAAACUGAAUACUUGAAAUUCAACAGAACCCUUUUUUU